CUGUGGUCAAGAUGGCGCUGUGAGCAGACGUUGAACUCGCCUCCUCCCACGAGCACAACCAGGUUACAACAAUUUUGGGAAGAAUCACCCUGGAUUGAAAACGGAAAACUGGAUAAAAAGAACCCCCACGACAAGGGACAGUCCUGACGAAAGCAGAAGAAGGAGUGACUCGGGCCGGAGAGGAAAAAAGCCACCUUUGGGAGCAGCGGAGCCUCUCAGCUGGCCAGGCGGGAGCCAACCUAAGGAACUGCUGCAGAAGUUCAAAAUGAUACACAAAAUGUGCAAAGUUCUUGCAUUCUAAGCUCAGAGAUUCAUCAGCAAUUGGGAUCAGACACUUACCCUCAAGGCCUAAGGAAAGUGACUGGCGUGGUGGCAGGGAAGGUGAAGAGGAGAAAUUGAUAUAUAGCCCACCAUAUCCACAAGGAUACCUAUCUGAGGAUUCUAUCUCCACAGGAACAUCACAGAGAUGCUAAAUCACUUGCGUAUUAGCACUGCAGCCCC
rnacentral:lncRNA from 1 species